GACGAAGGGGGCUAGCGUUGUUCGGAAUUACUGGGCGUAAAGCGCGUGUAGGCGGUUGCCCAAGUCGGGUGUGAAAGCCUUGAGCUCAACUCAAGAAAUGCACUCGGUACUGGGUGACUAGAGGACCGGAGAGGAUAGUGGAAUUCCCAGUGUAGUGGUGAAAUACGUAGAGAUUGGGAAGAACACCAGUGGCGAAGGCGGCUAUUUGGACGGUUUCUGACGCUAAGACGCGAAAGCAUGGGGAGCGAACGGG
rnacentral:rRNA from 1 species